rnacentral:rRNA from 1 species
GAUGAACGCUGGCGGCGUGCCUAAUACAUGCAAGUCGAGCGAACGGACGAGAAGCUUGCUUCUCUGAUGUUAGCGGCGGACGGGUGAGUAACACGUGGAUAACCUACCUGUAAGACUGGGAUAACUUCGGGAAACCGGAUCUAAUACCGGAUAAUAUUUUGAACCGCAUGGUUCAAAAGAGAAAGACGGUCGUGCGGGCACUUAUCGAUGGAUCCGCGCUGCAUUAGCUAGUUGGUGAGGUAACGGCUUACCAAGGCAACGAUGCAUAGCCGACCUGAGAGGGGGAUAGGCCACACUGGAACUGAGCCAGCGUCAAGACUCCUACGAGAGGCCGCAGUCGGGAAUGUUCCGCAAUGGGCGAAAGCCUGACGGAGCGACGCCGCGUGAGUGAUGACGGUCUCCGGAUCGUAAAGCCCUCUUAUUAGGGAAGAACCUAUGUGUAAGUAAAUGUGCCCAUCUUGACGGUACCUAAUCAGAAAGCAACGGCUAACUACGUG